rnacentral:snRNA from 1 species
GUGGUAGCUUUGGCAGCACAUAUUACUAAAAUUGGAACAAUACAGAGAAGAUUAGCAUGACCCCUGUGCAAAGAUGGCACGCAAAAUCGUGAAGUGUUCUAUAUGUUU